UAUGCCUGUGUUCUAUACACCAUCAGUAUGUCCUAUGAAUGUUUAUAUUAUUGGACUUGAUUGUCCAAUAAAACCGUAAUACAACUUUCAACAACGGAUCUCUUGGCUCUCGCAUCGAUGAAGAACGCAGCGAAAUGCGAUAAGUAAUGUGAAUUGCAGAAUUCAGUGAAUCAUCGAAUCUUUGAACGCACCUUGCGCUCCUUGGUAUUCCGAGGAGCAUGCCUGUUUGAGUGUCAUAAAAUUCUCAACCUUUUCAGCUUUUUUUGUUGUUGAUUAGGCUUGGAUGUGGGAGUUUGCUGGCUUUUUUUAUUUAUAUUUGAAGUCAGCUCUCCUUAAAUUCAUUAGUUAAGAAUCUUCCUGUUGCCUUAGCUUUUUGGUGUGAUAAUUAUCUACGCCAUUAUGUGAACCAGCUUUUAAAGGUUACUGCUUUCUAACUGUCUCUGAUGGACAAUUUUGUG
rnacentral:rRNA from 1 species